CUCCAAGCUCACGCACUCACCUUUAGGUCCUGCGUCACUCCUGCUUUGGUAAAUGGCCCUUCUUGUUUGACUGCUUUGUAAUCCAACAUCUUGGUCUUCUCUUGCU